GAUGAACGCUGGCGGCGUGCCUAACACAUGCAAGUCGAACGAAGCUUGACGGAUGAUUUCUUCGGAAUGAAACCAGAUAUGACUUAGUGGCGGACGGGAGAGUAACACGUGAGCAACCUGCCUUUCAGAGGGGGAUAACGGCUGGAAACGGUCGCUAAUACCGCAUGAUGUGUUCGGAUGGCAUCAUCUGAACAUCAAAGAUUUAUCGCUGAAAGAUGGGCUCGCGUCUGAUUAGAUAGUUGGUGGGGUAACGGCCUACCAAGUCUACGAUCAGUAGCCGGUCUGAGCUGUUGAACGUCCACAUUGCGACUGUGAUACCGCCCAGACUCCUACGGGCGGCAGCAGUGGGGAAUAUUGCACCAUCGGGAAAACUCUUAUGCAGCACCGCCGCGUGGAGGAUUAUGGUUUUCGGAUUGUAAACGUCUAUUCUUAGUGACGAAGACAGUGACGGUAGCUAAUGAAUAAGCAUCGGCUAACUACGUG
rnacentral:rRNA from 1 species